GAUGAAGAACGUAGCGAAAUGCGAUAAGUAAUGUGGAUUGCAGAAUUCAGUGAAUCAUCGAAUCUUUGAACGCACAUUGCGCCCGGCAGUACUCUGCCGGGCAUGCCUGUUCGAGCGUCAUUUCAACCCUCAAGCCCUGCUUGGUGUUGGGGCCCCACGGCUGCCGUGGGCCCUGAAAGGAAGUGGCGGGCUCGCUACAACUCCGAGCGUAGUAAUUCAUUAUCUCGCUUAGGGCGUUGGGCGGCGCUCCAGCCGUUAAAGAACCAUCUUUAACUCAAGGUUGACCUCGGAUCAGGUAGGAAUACCCGCUGAACUUAAGCAUAUCAAUAAGCGGAGGA
rnacentral:misc_RNA from 1 species